UGAUGAUGAUGAUGAUCAUGAUGAUGAUGAUGAUGAUCAUGCAUGAUGCUGAUGAUCAUGAUGAUGAUGAUCAUCAUCAUCAUCAUGAUCAUGAUCA
rnacentral:pre_miRNA from 1 species